AGCAGGUCGAAGAUAGAAUUGGAAGCAGCCUCAGUUAUGUGAAUACUACAGAAGAGAAAUUUUCAGACAACAUUUCUACUGCAUCUGAAGCCUCAGAAACUGCUGGCAGCGGCUUUCUGUAUUCUGCCACACCAGGGGCAGAUGUUUGCUUUGCUCGACAACAUAACACUUCUGACAAUAACAACCAGUGUUUGCUGGGAGCCAAUGGGAAUAUUUUGUUGCACCUUAACCCUCAGAAACCAGGGGCUAUUGAUAAUCAGCCAUUAGUAACUCAAGAACCAGUAAAGGCUACAUCAUUAACGCUAGAAGGAGGACGAUUAAAACGAACUCCACAGCUGAUUCACAGAAGAGAUUAUGAAAUGGUCCCAGAACCUGUGUGGAGAGCACUUUAUCACUGGUAUGGAGCAAACCUGGCCUUACCUAGACCAGUUAUCAAGAACAGCAAGACAGACAUCCCAGAGCUGGAAUUAUUUCCCCGCUAUCUUCUCUUCCUGAGACAGCAGCCUGCCACUCGGACACAGCAGUCUAACAUCUGGGUGAAUAUGGGUAUGAUGAGCCUGAGAAUGUUUCCUCAGCAUUUACCGAGAGGUAACUUAAGAAUGCAGCAAGAAUACCAUGCAUUUCCUUAAAAAA
rnacentral:sRNA from 1 species